CUCUCCUCUUGCUGACAAACUGACUCCUCUUCUCCACAUAAUUUCUUAUAACCAAUAGUGCUCCUCCUUUCCUUGAACUUCUCUCUAUCUUUCUUCGCAUCUCAUCCAUUCUGUCUCCUUCUUCUUCUCUCUCUUGCUAUAGGUGCCUCGCAUCUCCUCCAGCAAGAGAUGUAAUAAUUAAAUUCCAUUAUUAAUGAGAGUUUUUCUCCACCAAAGUGCUACUCGCUAAUUUCUUAGACUUUUCCAGGCCCCAUAAGUUCCCAAUCUUGCCAAGUUUUCCAGACUGCCAGAAACUCUGGUUCCCUCAAUACUGGAACUACUCAAGGUUUGAUGUUCUUUUGGAAGGUCUACAAAUUGUGCAUCAAAAUGUCACACAUGGAAAUCUGCAUUCUUGCAAAAUGAAGAAUUGAUGCUGAUAAGCCAUUGCCUGGGGCUUAACUCAUGAGACUUUAGAGAAUUUUGCGUGUUCAUACUGUUUUACUUACUAUCAAUAUCAUUGCAGUUUGCUGUUGCAACAUGUUUUAAAAAGUAUCCACCCUCAACCACAAAAAAAUAACUUCAUCAUCCUUUUAACCCCUUUUAAUCCAUGACAACAAAGUGGAUACGUCCAAUGAAUAAUUAACAUGCUCACAAAAAAAAAUUCAGGAGUCUUACAUAGUUUAUGCAGCUUUGAGAAUGAAAAAGUAAGUACUGUUUGAAGAAUUUUAAAGCACUUUUCAAGACCUAUUUGUAAUUUACACUGCAAGGUUUUCUCUCCAUAUCAAAAUUUUGAGUUAGGAUUUUGUCUAUUUUUGUUUUGUUUUCUUUCUGCUCUUUUUUGUCAUUAUAAACUCUAUACACACAACAAGUAUUAAUCCUCGACAAUUAGCAAAGAGUAAAAUUCCAGCACUUCCCAAAAAAUCAAGCAUUUCUAAGCAUUUUCCAGGCCACCCAAACCAUUGAAAAGCAAAAUUUUUACAUUCAGUCUAACAAAAAACUGACUUUUGGUUUGAACUUUUGAAAAAUUCAUGCAGCUUUAACCCUUAUGCGCUGCAACAUACAAGCUGAGGAGAGAACUGACUGAAUAGAAUAUAUACAGAAUCUAUACAGAACAUCAUGAGCUGGAGGGAAAAGGGGAGUGAAACACCCAUAAAUGAACCACUAAGGGAAAAUGCUCAUUAAACUGCGUUGUUUCUAAUCCGUUUAUCUAACAGCUUUGGAGCCAAGGGAGUUAAAGUUGGGAGCCAGAGGAAGAAGAGCUAGCACCUACCUCACUGCUGAUGGAGCUUGUAUGCCUGCUGUUUCGGGGCAAAUAAGAGGAGCAUGCAAGGGAAGAAAGGGAAAAGAACGGGAUGAAC